AGAGUUUGAUCCUGGCUCAGGAUGAACGCUAGCGACAGGCUUAACACAUGCAAGUCGAGGGGCAGCACAGGUAGCAAUACCGGGUGGCGACCGGCGCACGGGUGAGUAACGCGUAUGCAACUUACCUAUCAGAGGGGGAUAACCCGGCGAAAGUCGGACUAAUACCGCAUGAAGCAGGGGCCCCGCAUGGGGAUAUUUGCUAAAGAUUCAUCGCUGAUAGAUAGGCAUGCGUUCCAUUAGGCAGUUGGCGGGGUAACGGCCCACCAAACCGACGAUGGAUAGGGGUUCUGAGAGGAAGGUCCCCCACAUUGGUACUGAGACACGGACCAAACUCCUACGGGAGGCAGCAGUGAGGAAUAUUGGUCAAUGGCCGAGAGGCUGAACCAGCCAAGUCGCGUGAGGGAUGAAGGUUCUAUGGAUCGUAAACCUCUUUUAUAAGGGAAUAAAGUGCGGGACGUGUCCCGUUUUGUAUGUACCUUAUGAAUAAGGAUCGGCUAACUCCGUGCCAGCAGCCGCGGUAAUACGGAGGAUCCGAGCGUUAUCCGGAUUUAUUGGGUUUAAAGGGUGCGUAGGCGGCCUUUUAAGUCAGCGGUGAAAGUCUGUGGCUCAACCAUAGAAUUGCCGUUGAAACUGGGGGGCUUGAGUAUGUUUGAGGCAGGCGGAAUGCGUGGUGUAGCGGUGAAAUGCAUAGAUAUCACGCAGAACCCCGAUUGCGAAGGCAGCCUGCUAGGGUGCGACAGACGCUGAGGCACGAAAGCGUGGGUAUCGAACAGGAUUAGAUACCCUGGUAGUCCACGCAGUAAACGAUGAAUACUCACCGUUUGCGAUAUAAUGUAAGCGGUAAAGCGAAAGCGUUAAGUAUUCCACCUGGGGAGUACGCCGGCAACGGUGAAACUCAAAGGAAUUGACGGGGGCCCGCACAAGCGGAGGAACAUGUGGUUUAA
rnacentral:rRNA from 1 species